UGGGGAAUCUUGGACAAUGGGCGCAAGCCUGAUCCAGCCAUGCCGCGUGAGUGAUGAAGGCCUUAGGGUUGUAAAGCUCUUUUUGCCGGGGACGAUAAUGACGGUACCCGGAGAAUAAGUCCCGGCUAACUUCGUGCCAGCAGCCGCGGUAAUACGAAGGGGACUAGCGUUGUUCGGAAUCACUGGGCGUAAAGCGUGCGUAGGCGGGUCUUUAAGUCAGAGGUGAAAUCCUGGAGCUCAACUCCAGAACUGCCUUUGAUACUGAGGAUCUUGAGUUCGGGAGAGGUGAGUGGAACUGCGAGUGUAGAGGUGAAAUUCGUAGAUAUUCGCAAGAACACCAGUGGCGAAGGCGGCUCACUGGCCCGAUACUGACGCUGAGGCACGAAAGCGUGGGGAGCAAACAGGAUUAGAUACCCACGUAGUCCCUGAGCGGGCUGGCAAGGCGCAU
rnacentral:rRNA from 1 species